rnacentral:tRNA from 1 species
CAGCUUCUCAUAACUUAUGUCAUCAUCUUAGCACCAUAUAUGAUAAUAUAUUGGUAGUAUGACUACUAGUUG